rnacentral:rRNA from 1 species
GAGUUUGAUCGUGGCUCAGGAUGAACGCUAGCUACAGGCUUAACACAUGCAAGUCGAGGGGCAGCAUUUUAGUUUGCUUGCAAACUAAAGAUGGCGACCGGCGCACGGGUGAGUAACACGUAUCCAACCUGCCGAUAACUCGGGGAUAGCCUUUCGAAAGAAAGAUUAAUAUCCGAUAGUAUAUUAAAACCGCAUGGUUUUACUAUUAAAGAAUUUCGGUUAUCGAUGGGGAUGCGUUCCAUUAGUUUGUUGGCGGGGUAACGGCCCACCAAGACUACGAUGGAUAGGGGUUCUGAGAGGAAGGUCCCCCACAUUGGAACUGAGACACGGCCCAGACUCCUACGGGAGGCAGCAGUGGGGAAUAUUGGGCAAUGGGGGAAACCCUGACCCAGCAACGCCGCGUGAAGG